rnacentral:rRNA from 1 species
UACGUAGGGUGCGAGCGUUAAUCGGAAUUACUGGGCGUAAAGCGUGCGCAGGCGGUUUUGUAAGCCAGAUGUGAAAUCCCCGGGCUUAACCUGGGAACUGCAUUUGUGACUGCAAGGCUGGAGUGCGGCAGAGGGGGAUGGAAUUCCGCGUGUAGCAGUGAAAUGCGUAGAUAUGCGGAGGAACACCGAUGGCGAAGGCAAUCCCCUGGGCCUGCACUGACGCUCAUGCACGAAAGCGUGGGGAGCAAACAGG